ACCUCAUUUUUUUUCAUUGCUUCCCUCUAAUCAGGGACUGAUUUUAGACCUGGGACACUAGGUGGGUGCAAUUAAUAAUCAUGGAAGAAGAGAAAACCAGCAGGCUCCGGACCUCAUAGGGUACGAGUUGAGUAGCCCUGGCCUAUACUCUAGGCCUAGCCUUAUAAGGGUAUGCUCGGAGAAGCACAUGGCAAAGUUAUAUUUCUAAGAAAAUGUCAUUCCUGAGUUUUUGCGCUGCUGGGAUGGAUAUAAAACUACACUGCAUUACACACGCCAAUGGAUAGGCUAGCCCAAUGAUGAGCCCCGGCCUGCCCUGCUCUUGCUGAUGUAAACCCUUUUGUGCUGCCUAACCAAUGGCUGUGCUGUGUACGGUGACACUUCAACGGGGGAGUCAAAGGCUUCUUCUGAAAAUAUUUGUUUAUUUGUCCAAAGAAUUCAAUAGCUGUGUGCGCGGACUAGGCCUACUGAUGCCCUGAUCAGUUCGAGAGAGAGCGCAAAGAUGAGGAGGAGGACCGGAGGCUACUUACAGCAAGAAAGGCUUUGUGUUGGAACCUAUUUCUUCCUAUCCAAGAAAGAACAGCUGCCUGAUAACCUCUUAAUGACGCUGAAGAGAAAAUGAACUCAGUACUUUGAGUGAGAUUCUUCAGCAGCAGGGAGCUCAGAUGAAAGAAGUGGUUUUCUCUCUAUGGAUACCUUGUCUGUCUGCUCUGCUGCUCUGCUCAACACACAGUAGUCUACUCCCCAGCAGAAGAGUGGGCCUUGACUAUUCCGAUGACCGUCUCCUCCACCACAGGAAUGCAGCCUCCCCUCUUUCACCCAAAAUUAGGUAUUUUCAUUAUCAAUGAACCUUUAUGGAUUGGAGUCAUGGGGUAGCGGUUGACGUUUGCCACCCCCUGAGUAACAGACAUUGCGGAGACUUUUUGGCAGUAAAAAGCGGGAAGAGUCCACUGGAUGUUGAACAGAGGGAUGUCGUUGGCUCUGGACUCUGGGGUAGAACAACAUAUAUUAUUCCAAGGUCCAACCAUGAUGACUUCAAACCUUCUGCUUCUAUACACAGACAGAGAAAUUGGGCAUGCUGCUGGGGAGGGUCAACACUAGGAAAUCUGUCAGAACAAGACCCUUUCCACGAGAAGACUAGUGAGUCGUUCCAUGACAUUUCAGCAAGCUAUAACACCCAUCAUCUCAGAUUGUUCUGAAGUUGUAGUUAGAAACCGGUACGAUUGGCAUUUCCGGAACAUUAUUUUGUAUACAUAAAAUGUUAUCUCUGAGAAAUGAAGUUAAUUUAUUGCACCCAAAUUGGCCAUUUUAAUUUACAGGAUGUAGAUUAUUUCAAUAAAUAUAGUACCCAACAUCCAAUUUGGACCAAACGUUUUCCUACCAAUGAGUAAGACAUGGGGAAUCCAAAGAAAUUGUCCAAAGCCAUCCACGGACCUCCCACACCCCAUGCCAAUCCCAAGCCAAUAACCAACAAACAGUAGCAAUUUUCUAUGUUUUUGUAGAAUGAAGCUGUGACUUGAAGUAUUGCUUCUCCAUAUUAUGUCAUGUAUUCCCUGUGAAUCUGGUUAGGUUUUUUUCACCGUGUUCAGAGAAAUUAGUAAUUGAAGUCGCUUGCAUUAUUUACCAGAAAGGAGUGUGAAAGUACCAAGUUUUGACCACGAGAUGUCGCUGUUCCUGCUAUACCUCCACACUCUUUUCGAUUUUGCUGCUCUAUUGUGUUUAUUAAAUAGAUCACAGCAUUUUCUUUGCAGCUUUGGGUAGAAAACCAAUAGAUUUGGCUCAUGAUGAAAUAAAUUGUGUGGUCUUCCUCACAAUUCAAGCUCGUCCUCCAUAAAAGCAAAUCAGUUUACUAAUUUCUCUUAACAGGGGAAAAAACAUCACCAGAUUCACAGGGGUAUACAUUACAUAGUAUGGAGCAGCAAUACUCCCAAGCCACAGCUUCAUACUACUUGUCAAACCAAGAUCACUUACACUGUAUACUGGUUGUUAGGGUGGGAUUGGCAUGGGGGUCUGUGGGUGGAUUCUGACAAUUGGUAUGUUUGGUCCAAAUUGGAUGUUGGGUACUAUAGUUACUCAAUAUUAUCUGAAUCCUAUAAAUAAAAUUACACAUUUGAGUGCAAUCAAUUAGCUAAAUAUCUCAGAGACCAAAUUAUAUUUAAACAAAAUGUUUUUGCAAUGCUAAUCAUAUCUGUUACUAACUACAAAAAAUAAUUUCAGAACAAUCUGAGAUAGUGGAGGUCGAACACCUCUUUCUGGUGCUUUUUCAGGUGGAAAGACCCUGGUGUAACAGAUUGGAAGUGAUUAGGGUUGCAGGUAGCCUAGCACGUAAGAGUUUUGGGUCAGUAACCAAAAGGUUGCUGAUUCGAAUCCCCGAACCGACUAGGUGAAAAAUCUGCUGAUGUGCAGUUAGCCCAACUAUAAUUGCUCUUGUAAAGGAAAAAAUGGAAGUCUGUUUCAAAUCAAAUCACAUUGUAUUUGUCACAGACCUCCCGAGUGGCGCAUUGGUC